GAUUUAUCAUGUGUCCCUUUGUUCGUUAUCAAGUUGGUUGCAUGUUUUCGCGCUAAGCGGUGCGCAUGUGGCUUUGUCAAGUGUAUUUGCGAGUUGGGUCUUAGCUAUAUGUUAAGCUCGGCAGCAGGUCGUCUUGGCGGGGCUGUCUUGCGUCGUACGUGAUGCGCAUGAGUGGUAUUUGAGUUGUUUGGGAGGGCGGGCUCCAUGCUCUGAGCAUCGAACCGUCUUCUUGCAACUCUCUUCAUUGUUGCCUUGCACAUGGUGAGGGGUGAUGAUCGGGUUCCUGUAUUGAAUACCCAUUGAGGGGAAUUCUGAAGUUUGCCGUUAUUUUCCGCCUCGUGCUCGCUUCGGGUGUGGGUGGACAGUGUAGCGCCUCUCGUGUUCCAAGCUCUCACAAAUAAAUAGUAGGAGCUUUGGCCCUCGUGCGUCGCUUGUGCUCUCGGUUGCGGAAUGUGAUGUGGCCGAACGAGAUCUUGCAUCUUGUAAUAUUGGCCUGACCCUAUGAAUCCUUUUKGAANNNNNNNNCCNNNNUUGAUUUAGCUCACCUGUAUCAUUGCUUUGCUUGGUUGGGUGGGUUUUCUCGAGGUAGGAGCGUCGAAAGA
rnacentral:misc_RNA from 1 species